AACGUAGGAGACAAACGUUAUCCGGAGUUACUGGGCGUAAAGGGCGUGCAGGCGGUUUCUUAAGUUCGUCGUGAAAUCGCCCGGCUUAACCGGGCGGGGUCGAUGGAUACUGGGAGACUAGAGGGCGGUAGAGGCGUGUGGAAUUCCGGGAGUAGUGGUGAAAUGCGUAGAUAUCCGGAGGAACACCAGUGGCGAAGGCGACACGCUGGGCCGUACCUGACGCUAAGACGCGACAGCAUGGGGAGCGAACGGG
rnacentral:rRNA from 1 species